rnacentral:rRNA from 1 species
AGAGUUUGAUUUUGGCUCAGGAUGAACGCUAGCGGCAGGCCUAACACAUGCAAGUCGAGGGGUAACAGGGUAGUAAUAUCGCUGACGACCGGCGUACGGGUGAGUAAUGCGUAUGCAACCUUCUUUUAACUGGGGGAUAGUCCGGAGAAAUUCGGAUUAAUACCCCAUAACAUCACAGAGAGGUAUCUUUUUGUGAUUAAAGUUUUGGUGGUUAAAGAUGGGCAUGCGUACCAUUAGCUAGUUGGUGAGGUAAUGGCUCACCAAGGCUAUGAUGGUUAGGGGGUCUGAGAGGAUGAUCCCCUAUACUGGUAUUGAGAUACGGACCAGACUCCUAUGGGAGGCAGCAGUGAGGAAUAUUGGGCAAUGGGCGUAAGCCUGACCCAGCCAUGCCGCGUGAAGGAUGAAUGCCCUAUGGGUUGUAAACUUCUUUUGUACGGGACGAAAUUCCUGGUCGUGACCGGGAUUGACUGUACCGUGCGAAUAAGCAUCGGUUAACUCCGUGCCAGUAGUUGUGGUAAUAUGGAGGAUGCAAGCGUUAUCCGGAUUCAUUGGGUUUAAAGGGUGCGUAGGCGGAAUAAUAAGUCAGUGGUGAAAGCCUGCGGUUUAACCGUAGAAUUGCCAUUGAUACUGUUAUUCUUGAGUAUAGUUGAGGUGGGCGGAAUGUGUAAUGUAGCGGUGAAAUGCUUAGAUAUUACACAGAACACUAAUUGUGAAGGCAGCUCACUAAGCUGUUACUGACGCUGAGGCACGAAAGCGUGGGGAGUAAACAGGAUUAGAUACCCUGGUAGUCCACGCUGUAAAUGAUGAUCACUCGUUGUUGGCGAUAUACUGUCAGCGACUGAGCGAAAGCAAUAAGUGAUCCACCUGGGGAGUAUGGCGGUAAUGCUGAAACUCAAAGGAAUUGACGGGGGCCCGCACAAGCGGAGGAACAUGUGGUUUAAUUCGAUGAUAUGCGAGGAACCUUACCUGGGCUUGAAAGGGGAACGACCUCCCGGGAAACCGGGAUUCUCUUCGGAGCGUUCUCCUAGGUGCUGCAUGGUUGUCGUCAGCUCGUGCCGUGAGGUGUUGGGUUAAGUCCCAUAACGAGCGCAACCCCUAUUGUUAGUUGCCAGCGGGUAAUGCCGGGAACUCUAACGAAACUGUCGGUGUAAACCGUGAGGAAGGUGGGGAUGACGUCAAAUCAGCACGGCCCUUAUGUCCAGGGCUACAUACGUGUUACAAUGGCCGGUAUAAAGGGCAGCUACUUGGUGACAAGAUGCUAAUCUCGAAAACCGGUCUCAGUUCGGAUCGAAGUCUGUAAUUCGACUUCGUGAAGCUGGAUUCGCUAGUAAUCGCGCAUUAGUAAUGGCGCGGUGAAUACGUUCCCGGGCCUUGUAUAUAUUGCCCGUCAAGCCAUGGAAGCUGGGGGUACCUGAAGUCUGUAACCGUAAGGAGCGGCCUAGGGUAAAACCAGUGACUGGGGCUAAGUUGAAAUAAGGUA